UCCACACCCAUGUAUGUAGGACCUCAAAUGAUCAUCAUUAAAUUUGGUAUAGAUCUCUAGAAAAGUUAUCACAUGGGUGUGAGACUUGACUUUUUUAGAGAUCUAUACCAAAUUUAAUGGUGAUCCUUUGAGGUCCUACACACAUGGGUGUGGG
rfam:Amborella trichopoda AMTR_V1.0_contig_44450, whole genome shotgun sequence.